rnacentral:tRNA from 1 species
UUUCUUUUAACUCAGUGGUAUCCCAUGGUAAGGCGUAAGCCCUCGGUUCAAAUCCGAUAAGGGGCU